UAUCACACCCAAGUCUCUAAAUUUAUCUGUGACUGUAGCUAUUAUGUGAAAGAGGAGUUUCUAAUUUUGUCAGUUGUUGUUAGGUAAUAUGAAUCCAAGAAUUCCGUUCCUUGCAUGUAGAGAGCACGAGAUAAGCCAUCUUUAAUGGCAGCCAUGAACUCGAUUGUUCUCACCUGUAGCUACGCAAUCUCUGGUGCUAGCUAAGCAGAGCUGAACCGGAAAGUGGGUUUGGUCAGAAGAAACAUACGCUUCCUGCUGUUAUCAAAGCCUGCUCAAAGAGUUGGUGGUGAUGACGUUAAUGGAAGAAGAUCCUCCAUGGGUAUCUUAGCUGCUACACUCUUCUUUUCUCCUCUGUUGUGUAUAUGUUUCCGCUAAUGAUUACCUCGAGAAGAGCAAAGCCAACAAAGAACUGAAUGAUAAGAAGGGACUGGCAACAAGGCUGAAUGUUUUUAUUUGGCAAAAAUGCUAUUUAAGGGGAUUUGGCUUCUCCUGAGGCUGCAGGAGAUUCAGAAGCGGUACGAGAUGUUGCCUGAUAAGGAAUCUGUUGACGGAGGGUUGAUGCUCUAGGUUGGAUAACUCUGCACCGCAUCUCAGAUACGCUCUACGCAGGCUCCUUCGUUGUGACUCUUCUCCGAGAGAGGUAUAUCCUCUUCUCUGGCUCAGUUUUAGCAUCCAAAGAUCUCAGCUUUGCCACAAAAAAUUCAUUUUUUUCUUCUUUAAUUGUGUGCAAGACAAGGAUUUGCAGUGGGGUUGACAUUACCUGUUAGCUUAAUCUCUAGCAUCAAUGUGGAAUCUCUACUGAAGCUCAUUUCUGAUUCUUUGUCCGUGUCUUCAUGGACAAGUAAGUAGCUGUUUUGUGCUUUGUUUUGUGUGUAACUUAUGCUGUAGAGACUCCUUGUAAUUCUUUGGUUUUACUAUUUGACACUGGAUGUGAAAGAAAGCUUAUUGGGUUAGGUUGUUUGAUUA